rnacentral:rRNA from 1 species
CACGUAGGGUGCGAGCGUUGUCCGGAAUUAUUGGGCGUAAAGAGCUCGUAGGCGGUCUGUUGCGUCAGGAGUGAAAACUCGGGGCUUAACCCCGAGCCUGCUUCUGAUACGGGCAGACUAGAGGUAUGCAGGGGAGAACGGAAUUCCUGGUGUAGCGGUGAAGUGCGCAGAUAUCAGGAGGAACACCGGUGGCGAAGGCGGUUCUCUGGGCAUUACCUGACGCUGAGGAGCGAAAGUGUGGGGAGCGAACAGG